AGAGACAAGGGUUACUGGGGACCUAUUCUGUACUGGAACACCCAGAGAGACAAGGGUUACUAGGGACCUAUUCUGUACUGGAACAUCCAGAGAGACAAGGGGACCUCAGUACUAAUACUUGAAUCAUUCCU